UUAGCUCAAUCGGUAGAGCGUGAGACUCUUAAUCUCAAGGUUGCGGGUUCGACCCCCGCA
rnacentral:tRNA from 1 species